AGUGUAGGCGGUCAAGCAAGUCAGGGGUGAAAGGCAUCGGCUCAACCGAUGUAAGCCUUUGAAACUGUUUGACUUGAGUGCAGGAGAGGUAAGUGGAAUUCCUAGUGUAGCGGUGAAACGCGUAGAUAUUAGGAGGAACACCAGUGGCGAAGGCGACUUACUGGACUGUAACUGACGCUGAGGCUCGAAAGCGUGGGGAGCGAACA
rnacentral:rRNA from 1 species